rnacentral:rRNA from 1 species
CUACGAAGGUGGCUAGCGUUGUUCGGAAUUACUGGGCGUAAAGCGCGCGUAGGCGGAUUGGUCAGUUAGGGGUGAAAUCCCAGGGCUUAACCCUGGAACUGCCUCUAAUACUGCCAGUAUUGAGUUCGGGAGAGGUGAGUGGAAUUCCUAGUGUAGAGGUGAAAUUCGUAGAUAUUAGGAAGAACACCAGUGGCGAAGGCGGCUCACUGGCCCGAUACUGACGCUGAGGCGCGAAAGCGUGGGGAGCAAACAGGAUUAGAAACCCUAGUAGUCC